UUUUUUGUUUUCUUUUUUGCUUUAUUUAUUUUGUUUUGUUUCUACUUACAACAAAAAACUUAUUUAUUUUAUUUUGUUUCUAAUUACUUAUUUAUUUUACUUUAUGAUAAAUUUUUUUGCUAUUAAAGUUUCUAUCAAAAAAAGUUCUUUAUGAAAAUUCUUUUUGCUUUUAAUGAUUUUGAACAAAAAAUACUUCGAUAAUUUUAGUUGCAUCAAUUUUAUAUGAUUUUAGUUUCAAUAAUACUAGAGGUUUCUUAUAAUGUUUUGAACAGAAAAUACUUUGUUAAUUUUAGUUUCAUAAAUUUUAUUAAAGUUUAUUUUAUUUUGUUUCUACUUAUACAUUUUAAUAAAAUUUAUAUUAUUUUGUUUCUAAUUACUUAUUUAUUUUAUUUGUUAUUUUUCAUGCACCAUUUUUCAUGCAUUUACUAAUUAUUUUGAGCUAUAAGACCCUAAAAUUGAAAAGCAUUUGAAAUGAACUCUGUAAAGGUUGAAAGUUGGCAUGGUAUCAUCAUUUCAUCCACAUAGCAUGUGCAAGAAAGUUGAGAGGGUUACGGCAAAAACUGGAUGCACUUCGUGUACAAAACGGACAAUCUCUUUCAAAGUAUCCGGAUUUCAUACGGAAACUCGUCUGUUACGAAGGGAUUUCAUUUUUUAAAACUUAUUUGAACUCCUGACUUUUUGUGUGUUCAAAACGCACCAUUCAAAGCCAUAAGACCCUAAAAUUGAAAAGCUUUUCAAAUGAACUUGAAAAUUGAAAGCAUUUCAAAUGAACUCUGAAAAGGUUGAAAGUUGGCAUGGUAUCAUCAUUUCACCCACAUAGCAUGUGCUAAAAAGUUGAGAGGGUCCCGGCAAAAGGUGGAUGCACUUCGUGAACAAAAUGGACAAUCUCUUUCAAAGUAUCAGGGUUUCGGACAAAAACUCAUCUGUUACAAAGAGAUUUCAUUUUCUUGAACUUAUUUGAACUCCAGACUUUUUGUGUGUUCAAAAUGAACCAUUCAAAGCAGAGACUGAUUUUGAAUGGUGCAUAUUCAACACACAAAAAGUCUAAAGAUCGCCAACCCCAACAUAAAAAAAUGAGCAUAGAUGCGCUUAUAGAGAAAAUUCAACCUAAAUUCAUAAUAAAUUUCUAUGAAUUUCAGAGAAAUUCACUAUGAAUUUAGGUCAAAUUCCCUGUAUAAGGGCAUCUAUUUUCAUUUUGAGAGGAGCUCAACAAGGCAGAGAUGGACGGGCUUAUAAACCGGUGUGAGCGCCCUUCGAUUGGCGAGGUGGGACUAAACUCUGACCGCAACGAGGACCAACCCUUUAGUCACGGUUUGUGGCACAAACCAGGACUAAUGGUCAUGGGCCAGGGGUGAGGCCCAUUAGUCCCGGUUCGUGCGUGGAACCGGGACCAAAAGGUCCAGACGAACCGGGACCAGUGGCCCACGUGGCCCGGACGGACCCCUGGGCUCACGAACCGGGACUAAUGCAGCCCAUGGGUCCCGGUUCAUGCACAACCGGGACUAAUGGGCUGGCCAGGCCCGAACGAAAGCCCUGUUUUCUACUAGUGCAUGACUGACACCCUUAGAUCUCAGAUCCAACGGCUCACAGGAGUAUGUAUCAUGGUAGCACCUAAGCUUCUAUAUCACCUAAUAUUUUCUCAAUUAUAUUUGUAUUUAGUUAAUGGGUAACAUCGUUGUUCUGCUGGCGAAUUCUGAAAACUUUAAUCCUUGAAGUCGUAACAGCAAAAUGAUGGAAACCAUCCACAAUGUUGCUUAGCCAUGAUCUGUAGCCUGGUCCUCCAUUGAUCACUAAAUGUUACCUAAAAGGCAUGGUACUCAUUGUAGCCUGGACACCGCAAAUAGAACAUUGAGGUAAGGUGUUCGGUAUGUGCUUGCAUCGGUCAAAUUGGACGGACAGCGAGCUUCUAAGCGAAGAUACAGAUAUGCGGAGGGACUUGUGCACACCAAAUGUGAGCCCACAUACUCCGGUUUCCAUCAUGUGCAACGUUGGACCCUUCUUGGUCACCAGCUAGUUUGAUAGGCGUCGCGAACAGUGAACCAUCGAAACUUUUUAGGGUGACAGGAAAUAACAUCAGUCCCAACAAUUUUUUGAAACGAAGCUGUAAGACCUCCUCAAGGUCAAGCAUGGUUAUAAUUUCCUUUACAAGUUGCUCUCUCUAGCUCUUAGUCGUUGGAUCAAUAAGAUCUGACACCCUUCUCCAACCUCACCAUGUUACCAAUCACUUUCAGUUUCCCUCUUGGGAGCUAAUUAUCUCUCCAUAUCCUAACCUUCUGGAUUGUUGAUGCACCAUAUGACGCCUUAUCAGUACACAAUGUACAACACAAGUUUAAUGUAAACCAUGCACGGUAGGAAAACAAUACCAUGUAGUUUAUUUGUUGGAAACGUGAGGAUUGAGUGUUUGGAUUUGAUCUGCCUCAUUGUGUGCUGACCAGCCGGUUAAAUGAAUAAACAAAAAGCAAGAGUAAAGAAAAUAAGGACAUAUCUUACAAUCCAAUAUUCGGAAAAUGAAGUGUUAAGAUUGUAAGAAUGAGAUGAACCUUUUUUACAAAGAGGGCACCUAUUUAGUCAUUUUGACAUUCAGAAUGAGCAGGAGGAUAUUAGCAUCAAAUAGACCAAAGAACAAUUAUCUUCCUCAUUAUGCCAAUGACGCAAUUAAGCUAGUAUGUAGUCAUUUUGACAUUCAGAAUGAGCAGGAGGAUAUUAGAAUCAAAUACAUUAUAUGUGUGUACUGUAUGAUGAUUUCUUUGGACAUGCAUUGCAAUUACAAUUAUCCGUUUGGUAGUUGUUCUUAUUCUUACAACAGUGGCUUUUGAUGUCUUGUCACUUCGGUUAUGAUGACAUAAUAAAUUUGUGGUUAUGUGCGUCUAUAUUUGAUGCAAGGACACAUGCAUGUACUAUAUGUAGCUCAUUCAUUUCAUGAAAAGAGAUGGAUGAGAUCUACCAACUAUCUUUUCAGCCACAUAGUUCAUGUGGUAGUCUAAAUGUAUAACUUUGACAUGUUCCAAUAAGAAAGCGCUUUUAAUAAAUCUACUUUAUGAUACCUACCAACUAUAUUUUGCUCUAUGUGUGCCUCUAUAUAUAACCAUCAAACUACUACUCAUUUCACAUAUGACCAGCCACCUUAUGAUACUUCAUAGAUAUAAAUUGCAUAUGCUCAUUUAUGCUCUAUGAUUCUAGUAGAGGCUAAUUUGUUGGAACAUAUUAUUAGGAACAAACCAUGCUCAAUUAUGAAAUCUACUACAUUAAGGUUAGUCGUCGACUUGGUUGGGCGAUGUAUAAGAAAGCACACAACAUAUCGACAUGAGGUACAAUAUGUGUGAUGUAAAGGUACACACACACCAUAUUCAGUUUAUAAGUUGCUUGGAAUGAGUGACCCCGGGAAAACAUCUAUCACUGGGUGUCUGUAGUGCACAUUAAAAAUAUGAUGCUUCACUCCAAAAUCUUCCUCAUGCACAAGAUGUAAAAUUUUCUCUUCAAACUUUUCUUCACUCUUGUGGCUAGGAUACCCUAGCAAAGGGAGAUGAACGAACAUGUCUUAUUGACGCUUGAUGAGUUAGCAAUUUGCUUCCUUUGGAGUAGCUGCCUCAUCUUCUGGCGCUUCCUCUUGAGCCUCCUCAUGCUCUUCUUCUUUCACCCCACAUAAUUGCAAAAGGAUGUACAAAUCAGUACACAAUGUACAAUAUAAUUUUAAAUGUGAAGAGUACAAAGUAGGACAAGAAAACAUAUAAUUGUUGGAAACAUGAGUAUAGUGUUCAAAGUUGAUCGGCCUCAUUGCAUGAUGAUCAGUUGGUUAAAUGAACAAACAGAAAUCAAGGGUAAACGAAACAAGGGCAGAUCUUACAACACAGUAUUUGGCAAAAAGUGAUAAGAAUGAAAGAGUGAGAUGAACCUUUCUCCGAAAGAGAGCAUAUAUGCAGUCGUUUUGAACUUCAGAACGAGUAGGAAGAUUUUAUCAUCAGGUAGAUUAUACAACAAUUGUCUUCCUCAUUGUGCCAACAACGCAGUUAAUCCUAAAAUGGAGUCACAAAGUUAAAGACUAAGCAUGUUCUCUCAGACAAAUGCCUUGAUUAUCCACAUGGUUUAAUAGAACGGAUUACAUCACACUCGUCAUAUGUUUUAAUCGCUACAGAGAACUAACACAACAAUAUCAACUAUUUAUACCUAACACCAGUACUCCCUCCGUUCCUAAAUAUAAUUCUUUUUAGAGAUUUCAAUACGAACUACAUACGGAUGUAUAUAGACGUAUUUUAGACUAUAGAUUCACUCAUUUUGCUCCGUAUGUAUUCCAUAUUGGAAUCUCUAAAAAGACUUAUAUUUAGGAACGGAGGGAGUAGUCAAGCAAAACACAUACGCACACAUAAUGAGUAAAAAAGCAGACAAAUGCUGGGGCAAGUUUAAUAAGUAUUCUCCCAGACAAAUGCCUCAUUAUUCCACACGGUUUGGUAUAAUAGAUUACAUCAGACUCUUAACCUAUGUUCAUCAUCAUAGAGAAAAUAACCCUAGUAAUCCUCACGAUUUGACUUGGAUGUCAUGGCUCAUGGGUGGCCUAUCAAAUCUUCUCUUAUCAACACGUGCACACACACUACAUCUAAUACGUAGUAGCAACCACAGAGCAAAAUAUGUGUUGCUUCUCGUCGGUGGUUUAAAUUAAGUAAAUGUUUCAAGAUUAGCAUAUCAUCGUGUAGCACGGUUGCUAUUGAAUGUUUCAUCCUAGUGAUCGUUCCAUUGUCUAAAAAGUGUCCACGAGUUAGUAUUGAUAUUUGGUCACAUCGGCUUUAAGCUAGCCUGUGACACACAAGCAUACUUUCACUCAAGUGUGAAAUAUUGCAGGCCCCCGACCUUGAGCAUGACCUCUUUGCCAGCUCUAGCAAAAUGAUAGAUUCCACCGAAGAAAAUUAGUGAAAUAGUAAUAGAUUGAUAUCUUCUACUAUUAGUCACCUACCGCCAUUCAUAAUUGCGAUAGUACUUGAGCCAUCAAAUUUGCAGGAAGGGACUUGAAAAAUAACCUCGCCAUGUGCAAACUUGUUACCUCAAGUACCUGACCACAAGUAGUAUAUAGUAUCAUCUUUGCUAUUUCCUUUCUAGAAGUCGGUUCACACGACGCGCGCACGCAUUCUUGUGACCCGUGAUUAACAAUGUUUGUGAUGCUAACCAAACGCAUGCUCAACACAUUUUAGCCUCUUUUGUCUGCUAUAAGCGCGUGAAGACAAAAUCACUUGUUGUUGAUGCGAAUGUGGUGCACUGAAGCACCACGGCGGCUUGGGAAUGAGUGGCAUCGUGAAAACAUGUCAAACAAUGAUGAUUCUUGAGGCUGUUUGGUUUGGUUCCUGGUCACAAGGUGUGGAUGUUGUCCGGAGGACGUUUGGUAUGUGUCCUCGAGAGUGGACGGCUUGCCCGGCUUGAAUCCAGUCAUGCACGAGAUUAUCCUGGCCCAAGCCCUCGAACUCUGAUGCUGGUGCGAGCGUCGGCUGCAACCUGGAUGCUAAGGCCUCGGUUGGAACUUCCUUUUCCAGUCGAAUCCCUCCCUAAAAUAUACACCAGAACCGCUGAUAUUUGGAUCGUUGUUUUUGCCCUGGAAAAUUUACACCCGUUUCUCAGAAUACGCUGGUAUUUGGCCGGUUUCCGAUAAACACCUCGGCUUGGCGAGUACAAAGCAGGGCACCAGCAAUCGUGACGGUCGGGCUGGAAGCGCCAUUGCAGCUCUCAUUGGCCAUUAAAGAUGCAAGGACUGGAUGGCAGUCACUCGACGAGCACAACGGACUCCACGGCACUGCUCAAAACCUGGCUCGAAGGGGGUGGCAAGCCGGCAACAAGGUGGAUCUCGGACUCCGACUUCUGACCCGGUGGACCUCGUCCUUGCGACUCGGAGCAUGUUUGGUAUGCGUCCUCGAGCACUAUGUGCCCCUUGUAAAAAUGUGUAGAAAGAUUGCACAUAUAUCUCUGUUUUUUCUAAAGAUCAUCUCAAAGAUAAGAGAAGAUAUUAAAUUGUUUCUCUCUUUCCAAGUCAAUCUGCGCCUGAAACAAACUACAGACCCGAGUCGCAGAGGAAGAGCUCCAUAAUGAGGUCCGCUUGUUGUCGGGACAAACUGAGUACUCAUAGCAAUUCCAGUUGUAAAUAUGCUUUCGAGAAGCAAAUGGAAACAAAACAAACUCAAAACAUCAGAUGCAUGCCAGAAAAGAAGGAACAGGCAGGGCAACAAAUCAAAAAUAGACGAUAAUACUUCUUAAGCCGAAUAUCCAGCCUUCAAGGAAAGCAUAUAAUUAUCCUCAUGUUACAAGGGUGGGCAUCCCCAAAACAUCAGAACAACCCAGACAUAUCAGGAACCAAAAGACCCUGUCAUCCCAACAGACUGGUGUAGUGAUACAAGGUUAAGCUUUCUCCUCGUUGUUCGCCUACUUGGAUCGCUGCCUCAUCUUUCGGCGCUUCCUCUUGAGCCUCCUCAUCCUCUUCUUCUUCCACUGCAAAUUUUAGUAACCACAGAUUUCAUCAGCAGAAAUUGUGUAGUACUACUCUAGGAGAUGCACGUGAACAUAACAAGAAAGUAUCCUCGCAAAAAAAUAACAAGUACAAUUUGUUUUGGAAUCAGAAGAUAGAGUGUUUCAUUGGAUAUCAUCACGUGAUUUUCAGAAACACGGACCAAUUGUUCUUCAUCAUUUCCCAAACUAAAGUGGAUUUCAAAGGCAAAUAGGAAACAAUUAUGCUAAGAUAUCUAAAUAACUAGUUAAGCAAAGUAGAGAUCUGCAGUCCGUUUGACAUUCAGAAUGAGUAGGAGGAUUUUAUCUUCAAAUAGAUCAGACAGCAAUUGUCUUCCUCAUCAUGCCAACCAACACAAUUAUUUAUACAAAAAAAAGGUGGGGAGAAUGAGCACUCUAGGAGAUGCAUAGGAACAUAACAACAAUUCCAAAAUGAAAAUGGAAAGAUAGUUCAUGUGAUUUAGAAUCAGAAGAUUUGAGUGUUUCAUUGGAUAUCUUCACAUGAUUUUCAGAAACACGGACCAAUUGUUCUUCAUCAUUUCCCAAACUAAAGUGGAUUUCAAAGGCAAAUAGGAAACAAUUAUGCUAAGAUAUCUAAAUAACUAGUUAAGCAAAGUAGAGAUCUGCAGUCCGUUUGACAUUCAGAAUGAGUAGGAGGAUUUUAUCUUCAAAUAGAUCAGACAGCAAUUGUCUUCCUCAUCAUGCCAACGACGCAAUUAUACACAAAACAGUGGGGAAAACGAGCAAAGCAAAUGGCUAAGCAAUCAGUGUUCUCUCAGACAAAUGCCUCGAUUGUCCACAUGGCGUAAUAGAAUGGAUUACAUCAGACUCGUCAUCUGUUUUAAUCAUCAGAGAGAACAAACACAACAAUAACAACUUUGUACCUAACACCAGCAGUCAAGCAAAUCUAAUGAAGACACCUGCAGACAUUGUGGCAAAUGAAAAAGAAGCGAAAGGCAAUAGGGGCAUUGACAUGUAUUCUCUCAGACAAAUGCCUCGAUUGUCCACACGGUUCAAUAGAAUGGAUUACAUCAGACUCGUCAUCUGUUUUCAUCAUCAUAGAGAACAAUAGCCCAGUUGACUUGAGUGACACAGGCGGCCAAGCAAAUCUAAUCUUAUCCUACAUCUACGCAGCAGCAAUAACAAAAUUAAAAGCUUAGAAAAAAAACCAGAGUUCUCUCAGACAAAUGCCUCGUGUUGUCCCCACGGUUGAAUGGAAUGGAUUGUAUCGGACAUCUAAUCAGUGUUGAUCAUCACGGAGAACCCACAAACAAAAAGAACCCGAUCAAUGCAAAGCACAUCUAGACUCAGACGAACAAGCUGCAUCUACAAAAUCUAAUGUUCUCUCAGACAAAUGCCUCGAUUGUCCACAUGGUUUAUAGAAUGGAUUGCAUCGGACUCGUCAUCUGUUUUCAUCAUCACAGAGAACCGCAAACAAGCAACUACUACUACUACCGAACGCGGGCUCUACAUGGUGAGCAACAGCAGGGAAUCACUAGAUCGCAUCGAGCAGUCGGAUCAAGAGGUAAGGUAGAGGUGAAUCGGGAACGAACCUUGGCCCUCAUCGCGGAGGUGGCGGCGGCGCAGCAGGCGGACUGGGUCUCGGUAUCUGCUUGGUGCGGCGGCGGAGGUGUACGAGGACGGCUCUCGCGUGGUACUUAUAGAGGUCGGACAGGAACCCUAACCAGGAUGGAUGGACGGCUCAGAUCGGGACGCGCUGAGUUGGGCCUUAACUCUUCGGCCCAUAUGUAUUUGUAAGAGAUGAUGAUUAGAAUUUUUGGGAGCAACUUUCCUUGGGCCACAGCGGCCUGUUUGGGACUACUUCGCUCCUUAAAAUUUAGCUCCGCUCUAGAAAACGCAAGAAAUAGGGUAGCUCCACGAUAUACCGCUCCGUAAAAAAACUAGAAUCUGAGAGUGUGUCGUGCAUCCAGCCGCCGCCACGUGUCGCGUGUUGUGCGCAUCUUUGGGAUUUUAUUUUUUAUUUUUGCACGUGUUUUUGGAUUUUACAUGGUUUUUGGGCUUUUGCUUGGCUUCCUCUUUAUUUUGGCAUAUUUUUUUUCUUCUGAAAGCAACACAUUUGGGCGAGGAGCACAGCAUGUGCUUCUCCGAGAAGCGCAUUUGUGCUUCCUAGAAAUAAAAACAGUCAUAAAAAGUACAGCCUUGCUUCCGUGAGAAAUACAACCUUGCUUCCGCAAGAAGAAUAUUUGUGCUUCCCAAAAAGGAAAAAUAGAGCAAUGCUUCCUUAAAAAAGGGAAAAGCACAGUUUGUGCUUCUGCGUGAGAACCACACAUUAUGCUUCCACGCGCUUCUCCGAAAAAAGGGAAAAGAAAAGCCCGUGCUUCCUAAAAAAAGGCUAAAAUGAAACUAUGCUUCUGGGCUUCGGUUUUAUUCCUUUUUGGGUUUUUAUUACCGUUUUUCUUUCAGUUUCCUACUAUUUCUUGGUUUUCCUUUUUUCGUAAAAAAAGUUUGUUGAAACAUUGACAUGGGAUCUAGUUUUGAAUCUCGAGGCGAGAAAUUCAACGGUGUAAAUGGUUCGGGAUUUGGAUGCAUGGUUCAAAAGAUGAACUAUUUUGAAAAAACAAAUCUAUAAAAAAAAACUCCUAGAUUGUGAGAAGUGACGUACAUGGACUGUGGCACUAAUUAGCACCAUAGAAGGUAGAGAAUGACCUUUGAAAUGGGGUACCUCUUAAUUAGUGAUUUUGAGAAUUUUGUAUCCUAUUGUUCAUACCUUCGUUUUGUUUACCCCGCAUUUGGUCCAUGUUCAUUUUAUAAGUCGUAUUUUGGCUUAUCACAGAAAUUGUUUUUAAGAUACUUUUUUUUGAGUUCUUUCAAGAUAUUAGUGAUCAUGCAAUUACAGGUGGACAUAUUAGAGCACCUACAACCAUAACGCCACUUCCCCCUGAUGUCCGAACGAACAACUUGGACAUUGCUCGGAUCCAAAAAACGCUACCCGACCGGACCCUCCAAAGCCAACUCGUACGUUCGGCUUGUCUGCCAUCCCUCAUAUCCAACCUAUGUGAGGCGGGUUUGAGCCCGCCUAGACGCACUUGCCAUGUCGGACCAGCAUGCAGGACCCGUGUAGAAAUGCAUCGGUCUGCCCCGAGGCUUAAUAGUUUGGUGUUCGCAUUCAUGGCGCCACUUCGGCGCGCCGUGUGAGAGGUCAAGCCCUGCCUAUUAAGUAAGACAAACCCUAGGCACCCUCACAUCGCCUCCCCCGGUCUGGGUCUUCACACCGUGUGCACGGCCACUUCCCGUCCGCGCCCGAGCUCGUCGAGUGAAAGGGUGCGCACAAAGAUCACAUACUACAAGCUUUUGACGUCAGAUCGUGGCAGUGGUUCGUCCGCGUUGGCCAGGCAUGUAGCCCGCAUAGCGGACACUCUUUCUCUGACCUCGGAUGAGGACGGGGCUUUACGCUCGAAUGUGGCUAGGUGAUACAUCUCCGUCAUAUCUAUAAUUUUUUAUUGUUUCAUGCCAAUGUUUUACAACUUUCAUAUACUUUUGGCAACAUUUUAUAUCAUUUUUUGGGACCAACAUAUUGAUCCAGUGCCCAGUGUCAGUUCCUGUUUGUUGCAUGUUUUUUGUUUCGCAGAAAAUCCAUAUCAAACGCAGUCCAAACGCGAUAAAAUUUACGGAGUUUUUUUUUAAUAUAUGUGAUUUUUAGGAAGCGGAAUCAAAGCGAGAUGAUGUCGGAGGGGCCCACAAGCCCUUGAGGCGCGCCCCCUACCCAGGGCGCGGCCAGGGGGCUUGUGGCCACCCCGAAGGUCGGUUGGAGGUGUCCUUUGGUCGCAAGGAAGCUUAUAUCCGGAUAAAAACGUGUUAAAAUUUCAUCCCAAUCGGAGUUACGAAUCUCUGAAUAUUUAAGAAACGUUGAAAGGGCAAAAUCUGGGUCGCGGAACAGAAGAGAAACAGAGAGACAGAUCCAAUCUCGGAGGGUCUCUCGCCCCUCCGCCGCCCGCCGCCAUGGAGGCCAUGAACCAGAGGGGAAACCCUUCUCCCAUCUAGGGGGGAGGUCAAGGAAGAAGAAGAAGGAGGAGGAGGAGGGCGGCUCUCUCCCCUCGCUCCCGGUGGCGCCGGAACGCCGCCGGGGUAAUCAUCAUGUGAAGGCGAUCUACACCAACACCUCUGUCAUCUUCCCCAACAUCUUCAUCACCUUCCCCCAUCUAUAUAUUCAGCGGUUGAGGGAGUCCUGGACUAAGGGGUCCUCGGGCGUCCGACCUAUUAGACAUGGGCCGGACUGAUGGGUUGUGAAGAUACGAAGGCCGAAGACUUUCUCCCGUGUCCGGAUGGGACUCUCCUUGGCGUGGAAGGCAAGCUUGGCGACCAAAUAUGAAGAUUCCUUUCUCUGUAACCGACCUUAUGUAACCCUAGAUCCCUCCGGUGUCUAUAUAAACCGGAGGGCUAGGUCCGUAGAGGCCAAUCAUCAUAUUCAUAGUCAUACAAGCUAGACUUCUAGGGUUUUAGCCAUUACGGUCUCGUGGUAGAUCAACUCUUGUAACACUCAUAUUCAUCAAGAUCAAUCAAGCAGGAAGUAGGGUAUUACCUCCAUAGAGAGGGCCUGAACCUGGGUAAACAUUGUGUCCCCUGUCUCCUGUUACCAUCAACCUUAGACGCACAGUUCGGGACCCCCUACCCGAGAUCCGCCGGUUUUGACACCGACAGCGGUCCACUCUCCCAUAGCCCGAUGUACGCUUUACUUGAACAUGGUGCUUUAUGCUUCGUACUAUUAUCCAUUGAUAUGUUGCCAUCCUAUGAUGCUUGAGUAGAUUUUUGUUGUCCUAUCGGUGAUUGAUGAAUUGCUAUGAUUGGUUUAAUUUGCUUGUGGUUAUGUUGAUGCCCUUUGGUGCCCAUCAUAUGAGCGCGCGUGUGGAUCACACCAUAGGGUUAACUGUAUGUUGAUAGGACUAUGUAUUGGAGGGCAAGGGUGACAAUGAUACGUCCAUUUUGCAUCAUGUUUUCCUACUAUUAUUUAUGAUGUUUUUAUGCAUAAUAAUGCUUUUUGGAGUAAUUCUAAUGCCUUUUCUCUCAUAUUAUGCAAGGUACACUCAAAGAGGGAGAAUUCCGGCAGCUGGAAAUCUGGACCUGGAAAAGCUAUGUCAGGCCACCUAUUCUGCACAACUCCAAACAAGCUGAAACUUUACAAAGAAUUUUUAUGGAAUAUUUGAGGAAUAUUGGAGCCAAUAAGUACCAGAGGGGGCCCACCAGGUGGGCACAGCCCACUUGGGCGCGCCAGGGAGCCCAGGCGCUCCCUGGUGGGUUGUGCUCACCCAGGCCCACCUCUGGUGCCCAAAUUCUGGUAUAUAAGUCAUUUUGACCUAGAAAAAAUAAGGGGAGGACUUUCGGGAUGGAGCGCCGCCGCCCCAAGGCGGAACUUGGGCAGGAGCACUUUUGCCCUCCGGCGGAGCGAUUACGCCGGGGGAACUUCCCUCCCGGAGGGGGAAAUCAUCAUCAUCAUCAUCACCAACAACUCUCCCAUCUUGGGGAGGGCAAUCUCCAUCAACAUCUUCAACAGCACCAUCUCCUCUCAAACCCUAGUUCAUCUCUUGUGUUCAAUAUUUGUACCGAAACUAUAGAUUGGUGCUUGUGGGUGACUAGUAGUGUUGCUUACAUCUGGUAGUUGAUUACUAUAUGGUUUAUUUGGUGGAAGAUUAUAUGUUCAGAUCCAAUAUGCUAUUUAAUACCCCUUUGAUCUUGAGCAUGAUUAUCAUUUGUGAGUAGUUACUUUUGUUCUUGAGGUCACGGGAGAAAUCAUGUUGCAAGUAAUCACGUGAACUUGAUAUGUGUUCGAUAUUUUGAUAGUAUGUAUGUUGUGAUUCCCUUAGUGGUGUCAUGUGAACGUCGACUACAUGACACUUCACCAUAUUUGGCCCUAAGGGAAUGCAUUGUGGAAUAGUUAAUAGAUGAUGGGUUGCGAGAGUGACAGAAGCUUAAACCCUAGUUUUUGCGCUAUUCCGUAAGGGAUCGAUUGGAUCCAAAAGUUUAGUGCUAUGGUUAGAAUUUAUUCUUAAUACUUUUCUCGUAGUUGCGGAUGCUUGCGAGGGGGUUAAUCAUAAGUAGGAGGUUUGUUCAAGUAAGAACAACACCUAAGCACUAGUCCACCCACAUAUCAAAUUAUCAAAGUAGCGAACACAAAUCGAAUCAACAUGGUGAAAGUGACUAGAUGAAAUUCCCGUGUACCCUCAAGAACGCUUUGCUUACUAUAAGAGACCGUUUUGGCCUGUCCUUUGCCUCAAAAGGAUUGGGCUGCCUGUUGGGAAAAGUAGUAAUUUCAACAAAAAUCCUAUGCACACACAAGAUCAUGGUGAUGCAUAACAACAAGAGGGGAGAGUGUUGUCUACGUACCCUCGUAGACCGAAAGCGGAAGCGUUAGCAGAAGGCGGUUGAUGUAGUCGUACGUCUUCACGAUCCGACUGAUCAAGUACCGAACGCACGGCAUCUCCGAGUUCAGCACACGUUCAGCUCGAUGACGUCCCUCGAACUCCGAUCCAGACGAGCUUUGAGGGAGAGUUCCGUCAGCACGACGGCGUGGUGACGAUGAUGAUGUUCUACCGACACAGGGCUUCGCCUAAGCACCACUAUGAUAUUAUCAAGGUGGAUUAUGGUGGAGGGGGCACCGCACACGGCUAAGAGAUCAAGAGAUCAAUUGUUGUGUCUAUGGGGUGCCCCCUCCUCCGUAUAUAAAGGAGGGGAGGAGGAGAGGGCCGGCCAAAGGGGUGGCGCGCCCUAGGAGGGGGAAACCUACUCGAAGUAGGUUUGCCCCUCCCUUUCCUAGUCCAAGGAGGGGGAAGGAAGGAGUGGGAGAGGGGAAAGGCAAGGCCCCCCCCUUCCUUGUCCUAUUCGGACUCAAGGGCAGGGGGCGCGCCUCUUGCCCUGGCCGGCCCCUCUCUCUCUCCACUAGGGCCCAACAAGNNNNNNNNNNNNNNNNNNNNNNNNNNNNNNNNNNNNNNNNNNNNNNNNNNNNNNNNNNNNNNNNNNNNNNNNNNNNNNNNNNNNNNNNNNNNNNNNNNNNNNNNNNNNNNNNNNNNNNNNNNNNNNNNNNNNNNNNNNNNNNNNNNNNNNNNNNNNNNNNNNNNNNNNNNNNNNNNNNNNNNNNNNNNNNNNNNNNNNNNNNNNNNNNNNNNNNNNNNNNNNNNNNNNNNNNNNNNNNNNNNNNNNNNNNNNNNNNNNNNNNNNNNNNNNNNNNNNNNNNNNNNNNNNNNNNNNNNNNNNNNNNNNNNNNNNNNNNNNNNNNNNNNNNNNNNNNNNCCUGGUACUCCGAUAAAUGUUCGAAACCUUCCGUAACCUUUCCGGUGUCCAAACAUAGUCGUCCAAUAUAUCGAUAUUUUCGUCUCGACCAUUUCGAGACUGCUCGUCAUGUCCGUGAUCACAUCCAGGAGUCCGAAAAACCUUCGGUACAUCAAAACACAUAAAUUCAUAAUAUAACUGUCAUCGAACUUUAAGCGUGCGGACCCUACGGGUUCGAGAACUAUGUAGACAUUACCGAGACACGUCUCCGGUCAAUAACCAAUAGCGGAACUUGGAUGCUCAUAUUGGCUCCCACAUAUUCUACGAAGAUCUUUAUCGGUCAAACCGCAUAACAACAUACGUUGUUCCCUUUGUCAUCGGUAUGUUACUUGCCCGAGAUUCGGUCGUCGGUAUCUCAAUACCUAGUUCAAUCUCGUUACCGGCAAGUCUCUUUACUCGUUCUAUAAUACAUCAUCCCGCGACUAACUCAUUAGUUACAAUGCUUGCAAGGCUUAUAGUGAUGUGCAUUACCGAGUGGGCCCAGAUAUACCUCUCCGACAAUCGGAGUGACAAAUCCCAAUCUCGAAAUACGCCAACUCAACAAGUACCUUUGGAGACACCUGUGGAGCACCUUUAUAAUCACCCAGUUAUGUUGUGACGUUUGGUAGCACACAAAGUGUUCCUCCGGUAAACGGGAGUUGCAUAAUCUCAUAGUCAUAGGAACAUGUAUAAGUCAUGAAGAAAGCAAUAGCAACAUACUAAACGAUCAAGUGCUAAGCUAACGGAAUGGGUCAAGUCAAUCACAUCAUUCUCCUAAUGAUGUGAUCCCAUUAAUCAAAUGACAACUCAUGUCUAUGGCUAGGAAACAUAACCAUCUUUGAUCAACGAGCUAGUCAAGUAGAGGCAUACUAGUGACACUCUGUUUGUCUAUGUAUUCACACAUGUAUCAUGUUUCCGGUUAAUACAAUUCUAGCAUGAAUAAUAAACAUUUAUCAUGAUAUAAGGAAAUAAAUAAUAACUUUAUUAUUCCCUCUAGGGCAUAUUUCCUUCAGUCUCCCACUUGCACUAGAGUCAAUAAUCUAGUUCACAUCGCCAUGUGAUUUAACAUCAAUGGUUCACAUCUUUAUGUGGUUAACACCCAUAGUUCACAUCGACAUGUGACCAACACCCAAAGGGUUUACUAGAGUUAGUAAUCUAGUUCACAUCGCUAUGUGAUUAACACCCAAAGAGUACUAAGGUGUGAUCAUGUCUUGCUUGUGAGAUAAUUUUAGUCAACGGGUCUGUCACAUUCAGAUCCGUAUGUAUUUUGCAAAUUUUUAUGUUAACAUUGCUCUGCACGGAGGUACUCUAGCUAAUAGCUCCCACUUUCAAUAUGUAUCUAGAUCGAGACUUAGAGUCAUCCAGAUCGGUGUCAAAGCUUGCAUCGACGUAACCGUUUACGACGAACCUUUUGUCACCUCCAUAAUCGAGAAACAUAUCCUUAUUCCACUAAGGAUAAUUUUGACCGCUGUUCAGCGAUCUACUCCUAGAUCACUAUUGUACUCCCUUGCCAAAAUUUAGUGUAGGGUAUUCAAUAGAUCUGGUACACAGCAUGGCAUAUUUUAUAGAACCUAUGGCUGAGGCAUAGGGAAUGACUUUCAUUCUCUUUCUAUGUUCUGUCGUGGUCGGGCUUUGAGUCUUACUCAAUUUCACACCUUGUAACACAGGCAAGAACUCUUUCUUUGACUGUUCCAUUUUGAACUACUUCAAAAUCUUGUCAAGGUAUGUACUCAUUGAAAAAACUUAUCAAGCAUCUUGAUCUAUCUCUAUAGAUCUUGAUGCUCAAUAUGUAAGCAGCUUCACCGAGGUCUUUCUUUGAAAAACUCCUUUCAAACACUCCUUUAUGCUUUGCAGAAUAAUUCUACAUUAUUUCCGAUCAACAAUAUGUCAUUCACAUAUACUUAUCAGAAAUGUUGUAGUGCUCCCACUCACUUUCUUGUAAAUACAGGCUUCACCGCAAGUCUGUAUAAAACUAUAUGCUUUGAUCAACUUAUCAAAGUGUAUAUUCCAACUCCGAGAUGCUUGCACCAGUCCAUAGAUGGAUCGCUGGAGCUUGCAUAUUUUGUUAGCACCUUUAGGAUUGACAAAACCUUCUGGUUACAUCAUAUACAACUCUUCUUUAAUAAAUCCAUUAAGGAAUGCAGUUUUGUUUAUCCAUUUGCCAGAUUUCAUAAAAUGCGGCAAUUGCUAACAUGAUUCAGACAGACUUAAGCAUAGAUACGAGUGAGAAACUCCCAUCAUAGUCAACACCUUGAACUUGUCGAAAACCUUUUGCGACAAUUCUAGCUUUGUAGAUAGUAACACUACUAUCAGCGUCUGUUUUCCUCUUGAAGAUCCACUUAAUCUCAAUGGCUCGCCGAUCAUUGGGCAAGUCAAUCAAAGUCCAUACUUUGUUCUCAUACAUGGAUCCCAUCUCAGAUUUCAUGGCCUCAAGCCAUUUUGCGGAAUCUGGGCUCAUCAUCGCUUCCUCAUAGUUCGUAGGUUCGUCAUGGUCAAGUAACAUGAUCUCCAGAACAGGAUUACCGUACCACUCUGGUGCGGAUCUUACUCUGGUUGACCUACGAGGUUCGGUAGUAACUUGAUCUGAAGUUUCAUGAUCAUCAUCAUUAGCUUCCUCACUAAUUGGUGUAGGUGUCACAGGAACCGGUUUCUGUGAUGAACUACUUUCCAAUAAGGGAGCAGGUACAGUUACCUCAUCAAGUUCUACUUUCCUCCCACUCACUUCUUUCGAGAGAAACUCCUUCUCUAGAAAGGAUCCAUUCUCAGCAACGAAUAUCUUGCCUUCGGAUCUGUGAUAGAAGGUGUACCCAACAUUUUCUUCUGGGUAUCCUAUGAAGACGCACUUCUUUGAUUUGGGUUUGAGCUUAUCAGGUUGAAACUUUUUCACAUAAGCAUUGCAACCUCAAACUUUAAGAAACGACAGCUUAGGUUUCUUCCCAAACCAUAGUUCAUACGGUGUCGUCUCAACGGAUUUAGAUGGUGCCCUAUUUAACGUGAAUGUAGCUGUCUCUAAUGCAUAACCCCAAAACGAUAGUGGUAGAUCGGUAAGAGACAUCAUAGAUCGCACCAUAUCUAAUAAAGUACGGUUACGACGUUCGGACACACCAUUACACUGUGGUGUUCCAGGUGGCGUGAGUAGUGAAACUAUUUCACAUUGUUUUAACUGAAGGCCAAACUCGUAACUCAAAUAUUUUACCUCUGCGAUCAUAUCGUAGAAUUUUAUUUUUGUUACGAUGAUUCUCCACUUCACUCUGAAAUUCUUUGAACGUUUCAAAUGUUUCAGACUUGUGUUUCAUCAAGUAGAUAUACCCAUUUCUGCUCAAAUCAUCUGUGAAGGUCAGAAAAUAAUGAUACCUGCCGCGAGCCUCAAUAUUCAUCGGACCACAUACAUCAGUAUGUAUGAUUUCCAACAAAUCUGUUGCUCGCUCCAUUGUUCCGGAGAACGGAGUCUUAGUCAUCUUGCCCAUGAGGCAUGGUUCGCAAGCAUCAAGUGAUUCCAAAAGUCCAUUAGCAUGGAGUUUCUUCAUGCGCUUUACACCAAUAUGACCUAAACGGCAGUGCCACAAAUAAGUUGCACUAUCAUUAUUAACUUUGCAUCUUUUGGCUUCAAUAUUAUGAAAAUGUGCAUCACCACGAUCGAGAUCCAACAAACCAUUUUCAUUGGGUGUAUGACCAUAGAAGGUUUUAUUCAUGCAAACAGAACAACAAUUAUUCUCUAGCUUACAUGAAUAACCGUAUUGCAAUAAACAUGAUCCAAUCAUAUUCAUGCUCAACGCAAACACUAAAUAACAUUUAUUUUAGGUUCAACACUAAUCUUGAAAGUAUAGGGAGUGCGUGAUAAUGAUCAUAUCAAUCUUGGAACCACUUCCAAUACACAUCGCCACUUCACCCUUAACUAGUCUCUAUUCAUUCUGCAACUCACGUUUCGAGUUACUACUCUUAGCAACUGAACCAGUAUCAAAUACCGAGGGGUUGCUAUAAACACUAGUAAAGUACACAUAAAUAACAUGUAUAUCAAAUAUAACUUUGUUCACUUUGCCAUCCUUCUUAUCCACCAAAUACUUGGGGCAGUUCCGCUUCGAGUGACCAGUCCCUUUGCAGUAGAAGCACUCAGUUUCAGGCUUAGGUCCAGACUUGGGCUUUUUCACUUGAGCAGCAACUUGCUUGCCGUUCUUCUUGAAGUUCCCUUUUUUUCCCUUUGUCCCUUUACUUGAAACUAGUGGUCUUGUUAACCAUCAACACUUGAUGCUCUUUCUUGAUUUCUACCUUCGUCGAUUUCAGCAUCGCGAAGAGCUCGGGAAUUACUUUCGUCAUCCCUUGCAUAUUAUAGUUCAUCACGAAGUUCUAAUAACUUGGUGAUAGUGACUAGAGAAUUCUGUCAAUUACUAUCUUAUCUGGAAGAUUAACUCCCACUUGAUUCAAGCAAUUGUAGUACCCAGACAAUCUGAGCACAUGCUCACUGGUUGAGCUAUUCUCCUCCAUCUUGUAGGCAAAGUACUGUCAGAGGUCUCACACCUCUCGACACGGGCAUGAGUAUGAAAUACCAAUUUCAACUCUUGGAACAUCUUAUAUGCUCUGUGACGUUCAAAACAUUUUUGAAGUCCCGGUUCUAAGCCGUAAAGCAUGGUGCACUUAACUAUCAAGUAGUCAUCAUACCGAGCUUUUGUCAAAACGUUCAUAACGUCUGCAUCUGCUCCUGCAAUAGGUCUGUCAUCUAGCGGUGCAUCAAGGACAUAAUUCUUCUGUGCAGCAAUGAGGAUAAACCUCAGAUCACGGAUCCAAUCCGCGUCAUUGCUACUAACAUCUUUCAACUUAGUUUUCUCUAGGAACAUAUAAAAAUUAAACGGGGAGCAACAUCGCGAGCUAUUGAUCUACAACAUACAUAUGCUAAUACUACCAGGACUAAGUUCAUGAUAAAUUAAAGUUCAAUUUAUCAUAUUACUUAAGAACUCCCACUUAGAUAGACAUCCCUCUAAUCAUCUAAGUGAUCACGUGAUCCAAAUCAACUAAACCAUGUCCGAUCAUCACGUGAGAUGGAGUAGUUUUCAAUGGUGAACAUCACUAUGUUGAUCAUAUCUACUAUAUGAUUCACGCUCGACCUUUUGGUCUCAGUGUUCCGAGGCCAUAUCUGUUAUAUGCUAGGCUCGUCAAGUUUAACCUGAGUAUUCCGCGUGUGCAACUGUUUUGCACCCGUUGUAUUUGAACGUAGAGCCUAUCACACCCGAUCAUCACGUGGUGUCUCAGCACGAAGAACUUUCGCAAUGGUGCAUACUCAGGGAGACCACUUAUACCUUGAUAAUUUAGUGAGAGAUCAUCUUAUAAUGCUACCGUUGAUCUAAGCAGAAUAAGAUGCAUAAAAGAUAAACAUCACAUGCAAUCAAUAUAAGUGAUAUGAUAUGGCCAUCAUCAUCUUGUGCUUGUGAUCUCCAUCUCUGAAGCACCGUCAUGAUCACCAUUGUCAUCGGCGCGACACCUUGAUCUCCAUCGUAGCAUCGUUGUCGUCUCGCCAACUAUUGCUUCUACAACUAUCGCUACUGCUUAGUGAUAAAGUAAAGCAAUUACAGGGCGAUUGCAUUGCAUACAAUAAAGCGACAACCAUAUGGCUCCUGCCAGUUGCCGAUAACUCGGUUACAAAACAUGAUCAUCUCAUACAAUAAAAUAUAGUAUCAUGCCUUGACCAUAUCACAUCACGACAUGCCCUGCAAAAACAAGUUAGACGUCCUCUACUUUGUUGUUGCAAGUUUUACGUGGCUGCUACGGGCUGAGCAAGAACCGUUCUUACCUACACAUCAAAACCACAACGAUAGUUUGUCAAGUUGGUGCUAUUUUAACCUUCGCAAGGACCGGGCGUAGCCACACUCAGUUCAACUAAAGUUGGAGAAACUGACACCCGCUAGUCACCUGUGUGCAUAGCGCACGACGGUAAAACCAGUCUAACGUAAGCGUACGCGUAAUGUCAGUCCGGGCCGCUUCAUCCAACAAUACCGCCGAACCAAAGUGUGACAUGCUGGUAAGCAGUAUGACUUAUAUCGCCCACAACUCACUUGUGUUCUACUCGUGCAUAUUACAUCAACGCAUAAAACCUGGCUCGGAUGCCACUGUUGGGAAACGUAGUAAUUUCAAAAAAAUUCCUACGCACACGCAAUAUCAUGGUGAUGCAUAGCAACGAGAGGGGAGAGUGUUGUCUAUGUACCCUCGUAGACCAAAAGCGGAAGCGUUAGCACAACGCGGUUGAUGUAGUCGUACGUCUUCACGAUCCGACCGAUCAAGUACAGAACGCACGGCACCUCCGAGUUCAGCACAUGUUCAGCUCGAUGACGUCCCUUGAACUCCGAUCCAGCCGAGCUUUGAGGGAGAGUUCUGUCAGCACGACGGCGUGGUGACGAUGAUGAUGUUCUACCGACGCAGGGCUUCGCCUAAGCAUCGCUACGAUAUUAUCGAGGUGGAUUAUGGUGGAGGGGGCACCGCACACGGCUAAGAGAUCAAGAGAUCAAUUGUUGUGUCUAUGGGGUGCCCCCUCCUCCGUAUAUAAAGGGGGGGAGGAGGAGAGGGCCCGCCCAAGGGGGUGGCGUGCCCUAGGAGGGGGAAACCUACUCCAAGUAGGUUUGCCCCUCCCUUUCCCAGUCCACGAAGGAGGGGGGAGGAAGGAGUGGGAGAGGGGAAAGGCAAGGGGGGCGCCGCCCCCCCUUCCUUGUCCUAUUCGGACUCAAUGGCAGGGGGCGCGCCUCUUGCCCUGGCCGGCCCCUCUCUCUCUCCACUAGGGCCCAACAAGGCCCAUUAGUUCCGGGAGGGGGGGUUCCGGUAACCCCCGGUACUCCGAUAAAUGUCCGAAACCUUUCCAGUGUCCAAACAUAGUCGUCCAAUAUAUCGAUCUUUACGUCUCGACCAUUUCGAGACUCCUCGUCAUGUCCAUGAUCACAUCCGGGACUCCGAACAACCUUCGGUAUAUCAAAACACAUAAACUCAUAAUAUAACUGUCAUCGAACUUUAAGCGUGCGGACCCUACGGGUUCGAGAACUAUGUAGACAUGACCGAGACACGUCUCCGGUCAAUAACCAAUAGCGGAACCUGGAUGCUCAUAUUGGCUCCCACAUAUUCUACGAAGAUCUUUAUAGGUCAAACCACAUAACAACAUACGUUGUUCCCUUUGUCAUCGGUAUGUUACUUGCCCGAGAUUCGAUCGUCGGUAUCUCAAUACCUAGUUCAAUCUCGUUAUCAGCAAGUAUCUUUACUCGUUCUAUAAUACAUCAUCCCGUGACUAACUCAUUAGUUACAAUGCUUGCAAGGCUUAUAGUGAUGUGCAUUACCGAGUGGGCCCAGUGAUACCUCUCCAACAAUCGGAGUGACAAAUCCCAAUCUCGAAAUACGCCAACUCAACAAGUACCUUUGGAGACACCUGUGGAGCACCUUUAUAAUCACCCAGUUACGUUGUGACGUUUGGUAGCACACAAAGUGUUCCUCCGGUAAACGGGAGUUGCAUAAUCUCAUAGUCAUAGGAACAUGUAUAAGUCAUGAAGAAAGGAAUAGCAACAUACUAAACGAUCAAGUGCUAAGCUAACGGAAUGGGUCAAGUCAAUCACAUCAUUCUCCUAAUGAUGUGAUCCCGUUAAUCAAAUGACAACUCAUGUCUAUGGCUAGGAAACAUAACCAUCUUUGAUCAACAAGCUAGUCAAGUAGAGGCAUACUAGUGACACUCUGUUUGUCUAUGUAUUCACACAUGUAUCAUGUUUUCGGUUAAUACAAUUCUAGCAUGAAUAAUAAACAUUUAUCAUGAUAUAAGGAAAUAAAUAAUAACUUUAUUAUUGCCUCUAGGGCAUAUUUCCUUCACUACCUUGCAGCACUUUUGUUACUACUAUCAUUACUUGCUCGUUACAAAUUAUCUGGCUAUCAAACUACUCUGUUACUUACAAUUUCAGCACUUGCUGGCAUUACCUUGCUGAAAACCGCUUGUCAUUUCCUUCUGCUCCUCGUUGGGUUCGACAUUCUUACUUAUCGAAAAGAGCUACAAUUGAUCCCCUAUACUUGUGGGUCAUCAAGGCUAUUUUCUGGCGCCGUUGCUGGGGAGUGAAGCGCCUUUGGUAAGUGGAAUUUGGUAAGGAAACAUUUAUAUAGUGUGCUGAAAUUUAUUGUCACUUGUUACUAUGGAAAACAAUCCUUUGAGGGGUUUGUUCGGGGUAUCUUCACCUCGACCGGAACCAUAAUUAGCUACCCCUCAACCUAUUGCACCUACUGAAAAUAUUGAAUAUGAAAUUACUUUGUUUAUGAUAGAAGAACUGCUAGCUAAUCCUUAUGCAGGAGAUGGAACCGAACAUCCUGAUAUGCACUUGAUAUAUGUGGGACAAAUUUGUGGAUUGUUUAAACUUGCAGGUUUACCCGGAGAUGAAGUUAAGAAGAAGGUUUUCCCUUUAUCUUUGAAGGGAAAAGCAUUGGCAUGGUAUAGUAUAUGCAAUGAUAUUGGAUCUUGGAAUUGGAAUCGAUUAAAAUUGGAGUUUCACCAAAAAAAAAUCCCAUGCAUCUAGUUCAUCGUGAUCGGAAUUACAUAUAUAAUUUUUGGCCUCGUGAAGGAGAAAGUAUCGCUCUAGCUUGGGGGAGGGUUAAAUCAAUAUUAUAUUCAUGCCCCAAUCAUGAGCUCUCAAGAGAAAUUAUUAUCCAGAAUUUUUAUGCUCGACUUUCUCAUAAUGAUCGCCAUGCUUAAUACUUCUUGUGCUGGUUCUUUUAUGAAGAAGACUAUUGAAUUCCGGUGGGAUCUUUUGGAAAGAAUUUAACGCAACUCUGAAGAUUGGGAACUCGACGAAGGUAAAGAGUCAGGUAUUAAGCUUAAGUAUGAUUGUGUUAAAUCUUCUAUGAAUACCGAUGCUUUUCAAAAGUUUAGCACUAAAUAUGGACUUGACUCUGAAAUAGUAGCAUCCUUUUGUGAAUCAUUUGCUACUCAUGUUGAUCUCCCUAAAGGGAAGUGGUUUAAAUAUCACCCACCUAUUAAAGAAGAAAUUAAAGAACCUGUACCAGUUAAAGAGGAAACUAUUCUUUAUAAUGUUGAUCCAAUUGUUCCUACUGCUUAUAUUGAAAAACCACCUUUCCCUAUUAGGAUAAAGGAACAUGCUAAAGUAUCGACUGUGGUCAACAAAAGUUAUAUCAGAACACCUAAACCUGAUGAACAAAUUAAAGUAGAGCCUAGUGUUGCUAUGGUUAAAGACCUCUUGGAAGAAAAUAUAGAUGGGCAUGUUAUUUACUUCUAUAAUGAAGCUACUGUAAUUGUCAAACCCGAUAAAAUAGAUAAUCAUAGACCCGUUGUUGGCAUGCCCGUUGUCUCAGUUAAAAUAGGAGAUCACUGUUAUCAUGUUUUAUGAGACAUAGGUGCUAGCGUAAGUGCUAUUCCUUACACCUUAUAUCAAGAAAUUAUGAAUGACAUAGCACCCGCAGAGAUAGAAGACAUAUCUGUUACUAUUAAACUUGCUAAUAGAGAUACUAUUUCACCAACUGGGAUUAUUAGAGAUGUUGAAGUCUUGUGUGGGAAAAUAAAAUACCCUACUGAUUUUCUUGGUCUUGGUUCCCCAUAAGAUGAUUUUUGUCCCAUUAUUUUCAGUAGACCUUUCUUGAACACCGUUAAUGCUCAAAUAGAUUGUAAGAAACAAAUUGUCGGUGUCAGUUUUGGUAAUGAGUCUCAUGAGUUUAUUUUUUCCAAGUUUAGUAGAAAGCUUCAUGAAAAAGAAUUGCCUAGUAAGGAUGAAAUAAUUGGCCUUGCUUCUAUUUUUGUGCCUCCUACUGAUCCUUUAGAACAAUAUUUGCUAGACCAUGAAAAUGAUUUACAUAUGCAUGAAAGAAAUGAAAUAGAUGAGAUUUUCUUUGAACAACGUCCUUUGCUUAAACACAAUUUGCCUAUUGAAACUCUAGGAGGUCCUCCUCCACCUAAAGGUGAUCCUGUGUUUGAAUUAAAACAAUUUCCAGACACUUUGAAAUAUGCUUAUCUUGAUGAAAAGAAGAUAUAUCCUGUUAUUAUUAGUGCUAACCUUUCAGAACAUGAAGAAGAAAGAUUAUUGAAAGUUCCAAGGAAGCACCGAGCUGCUAUUGGAUAUACUCUUGAUGAUUUAAAGGGCAUUAGUCCCACUCUAUGCCAGCACAAGAUUAAUAUGGAACCUGAUGCUAAACCCGUCGUUGAUCACCAACGUCGGUUAAAUCUGAAGAUGAAAGAAGUGGUAAGAACGAAGAUAUUAAAACUUCUGGAAGCAGGUAUAAUCUAUCCUAUAGUUGAUAGUAGAUGGGUAAGCCCUGUUUAUUGUGUUCCUAAGAAAGGAGGUAUUACUGUUGUUCCUAAUGAUAAGAAUCAACUUAUUCCACAAAGAAUUGUUACAGGCUAUAGAAUGGUAACUGAUUUUAGAAAAUUAAACAAAGCAAUUAGAAAAGAUCAUUACCCUCUGCCUUUUAUUGAUCAAAUGCUAGAGAGAUUAUCUGAGCACACACACUUUUGCUUUCUUGAUGGAUAUUCUGGUUUUUCACAAAUACAUGUUUCUCAACCUGACCAAGAAAAGACCACUUUCACUUGUCCCUUUGGAACUUAUGCUUAUAGACGUAUGCCUUUCGGUUUAUGCAAUGCACCUGCUACCUUUCAAAGAUGUAUGAUUGCUAUAUUCUCUGACUUUUGUGAAAAGAUUGUUGAGGUUUUCAUGGAUGACUUCUCUGUUUAUGGGAAGUAUUUUGAUGAUUGUUUAAGCAAUCUUGAUUGAGAUUUGCAGAGAUGCGAGCAAACAAAUCUUGUCUUGAAUUGGGAUAAGUGCCACUUUAUGGUUAACGAAGGUAUUGUUUUGGGCCAUAAAAUUUCUGAAAGGGGUAUUGAAGUGGACAAAGCUAAGGUGGAUGCAAUUGAGAAAAUGCCAUGUCCUAAAGAUAUCAAAGGUUUUCAUAGCCUAGGUCAUGCUGGUUUCUAUAGGAGAUUUAUCAAAGACUUUUCUAAACUUUCUAGGCCUCUUACAAAUCUUUUGCAAAAGGAUGUUCCUUUUGUUUUUGAUGAUGAUUGUUUAGAAGCCUUCGAAACACUCAAGAAAGCCUUAAUUUCUGCACCUAUUGUUCAACCACCUGACUGGAACUUGCCUUUUGAAAUUAUGUGUGAUGCCAGUGAUUAUGUUGUUGGUGCUGUUCUAGGACAAAGAUUUGAUAAGAAACUGAAUGUUAUUCAUUAUGCUAGUAAAACUCUAAAGUUAUCAUUCACACCGACCAUGUUGCUAUUAAAUAUCUUAUGGAAAAGAAAGAUACUAAACCUAGACUAUUAUUCGAUGGGUUCUCUUGCUACAAGAAUUUGAUUUACAUGUUACUGAUAGGAAAGGAGCUGAGAACCCAGUGGCUGAUAACUUGUCUAGGCUUGAAAAUGUGCUUGAUGACCCACUACCUAUUGAUGAUAGUUGAUAACCCACAAGUAUAGGGGAUCGUUUGUAGCCUUCUUCGAUAAAUAAGAGUGUCGAACCCAACGAGGAGCUAAAGGCAGAACAAAUAUUCCCUCAAGUUGUAUCGACCACCGAUACAACUCUACGCACACUUGACGUUUGCUUUACCUAAAACAAGUAUGGAACUAUUUUGCAAGAAUAAAACUACGAGUACUUUGCGACAAUAAAACUACGAAUAAAUUUCAAGGUAAUAGAAGUGGAUAGCUUUUGUCAACAAGAAAGUCAUUUGUCCCUAGGCAAUCGAUAACAAGUACCGGUAAUCAUUCUUGUAAUUUUAUAUGAGGGAGAGGCAUGAGCUAACAUACUUUCUCUACUUGGAUCAUAUGCACUUACGAUUGGACCCCUAGCAAGCAUCCGCAACUACUAAAGAUCAUUAAGGUCGAGAAACCCAACCAUAGCAUUAAGUAUCAAGUCUUCUUUACUCCCAUACGUCAUAAGCCACUUAUCCGCGUUUAGGCUCCUGUCACCCCCGCAACACUGACAAUAAGCAAACCAUGAACGUAUUGCAACACCAUACAACGGGGGCCCCUCACGUUUGCGUGAGACGAAGGGCACCGUAGGACAAUGCCAUAAAUAAAAUAUACAAUCAUACCAACCAAGAUCACGAUUAACCCAUAGGACAAAAUGGAUCUACUCAAACAUCAUAGGAUAGCGAAAUAUCAUUGGGAAAUAAAUAUAUGGAGUUGAGCACCAUGUUUAAGUAGAGAUUAGAGAUUACAGCGGGGGGGGGGGGAGAGGUGUUACACCACUGCAGAUAGGGGAAAGUUGCUAUUGAUGGUAGGAAGGUUGUUGAUGUAGAUCGCCUUCACGAUCCUAGCCCCGGCGGCACUCCGGUGCCACCGAGAGAGAGGGGGAGAGAUCCCUUCUUCCUUGGCCUCCCCCCUAGAUGGGAGGAGAGUUCCCCCUCUGGUCCAUGGUCUCCAUGGCGGCGGAGGGGCGGGAGCCCCUCCGAGAUUGGAUCUCUCUCUCUGUUCUCUUCUAUUUCGCGCUCUCCUGAUCUAGCCGGGGUAUAAGCUUCCUUGCGCCCGAAGUAGAGCUCCAACCGACGUACGAGGUGAGCACAACCCACCACCGCGAGCCUGGCUCCCCUGGCGCGCCCUGGUCUCUUGUGGGCUGUGUGGGCCUCCGUUUGCGGUGAUUCCAACUCCCAAAAAUCACAUAUAUUCCCAAAUAAUUCUCCGUAAAAUUUUAUUGCAUUUGGACUUCGUUUGAUAUGGAUUUUCUGCGAUACAAAAAAUGCAACAAACAUGAACUGGCACUGGGCACUGGAUCAAUAGGUUAGUCCAAUAAAUCAUAUAAAAAGUUGCCAAAAGUAUGUGAAAGUUGUAUAAUAUUUGCAUGAAACAAUAAAAAAUUAUAUAUACGACGGAGAUGUAUCAGCAUCCCCAAGCUUAAUUCCUGCUCGCCUCGAGUAGGUAAAUGAUAAAAAUGUUAAUUUUUGAUGUGGAAUGCUACCUAGCAUAAACUUGAUCAUAUAUCUAAUCAUGGCAUGAAUAUUAAGACAUAAGUGAUUCAAAGCAGUAGUCUAUAAUUUGACAUAAAUACAUCAAUACUCAGGCAUCCCAACAAACAAUCAUGUCUUUCAAAAUAUCAAUGCUAAAGAAAGCUAUCCCUACAAAAUCAUAUAGUCUUGUCAUGCUCUGUCUUCUUAACACAGUAUUAUCAUGCACAACCCCGAUGACAAGCCGAGCAAUUGGUUCAUACUUUUUAAUGCGCUUCAACUUUUUCAACCCUCACACAAUACAUGAGCGCAAGCCAUGGAUAUAGCACUACAGGUGGAAUGGAGUAUGAUGAUAGGGGUAAAUAUAGAGAAGACAAAAAAGUAAGAAAGUCUCACAUCGACGCGGCUAACCAACGGGCUAUGGAGAUGCCCAUCAAUCGAUAUCAACGUGAGGAGUAGGGAUUGCCAUGCAACGAAUGCACUAAGAGCUAUAAGUGUAUGAAAGCUCAAUAUGAAAACUAAGUGGGUGUGCAUCUAAUCCUAUAAUGAAAAAUUCCCACUAGUAUAUGAAAGUGACAACAUAGGAGACUCUCCAUAUGAAAAACAUGGUGCUACUUUGAAGCACAAGUGUGGAACUAGCAUGCCCCUUCUCUCUUUAUUUCUUUAUUUCUUUUUAUUUUUUUAUUUUUUUAUUUCUCUCAUUGUCCAGAGUCUCAUCCUGACUUGUGGGGGAAUCGUAGUCUCCGUCAUCCUUUCCUCACUGGGGCACUGCUCUAAAAAUGAAUAAUGAUGAUCAUCACACUUCUAUUUACUUAUAACUCAAAAGAAAUAAAAAUUACAACUCGAUACCUAUGACAAAGUAUGACUCUAUAUGAAUGCCUCUGGCAAUGUACCAGGAUGUGCAAUGAUCUAGCAUAACAUGUAUGAAAAAUGAUGAACAGUAGCUGAGCCACAACUACUAUGUCAGCUAUAUGAUCAUGCAAAGCAAUAUGACAAUGAAUGCUCAAGUCAUCAAACGGAAGCGGUGGAAGUUGCAUGGCAAUAUAUCUCGGAAUGGCCAUGGAAAAGCCAUAAUAGGUAGGUAUGGUAGCUGUUUUGAGGAAGAUAUAAUAAGGAUUAUGUGUGAUAGAGGGUAUCAUAUCAUGGGGUUUGGAUGCACCUGCGAAGUUUGCACCACGUCUCGAGGUGAGAAAGGGCAAUGCAUGGUACCGUAGAGGCUAGCAAAUUGCCGAAAGGUAAGAGUGCGUAUAAUCCAUGGACUCACAUUAGUCAUAAAGAACUCAUAUACUUAUUGCAAAAGUUUAUUAGCCCUCGAAGCAAAGUACUACUACGCAUGCCCCUAGGGGGUAGAUUGGUAGGAAAAGACCAUCGCUCGUCCCCGACUGCCACUCAUAAGGAAGAUAAUCAAUAAUAAAUCAUGCUCCAACUUCAUAGCAUAACGAGAGACUAUACGUGCAUGCUUCGGGAAUCACAAACCUUAACACCAAUAUUCUUACUAACCACAACCGUUUACUAGUACCUCCCACAUAUUCCAUCUCUAUAUCGCAAAACUAUUGCAAGGAAUCAAACAUAUCAUAUUCAGUGAUCCAUAAGUUUUAUGUAGGAUUUUAUGAAUAACCAAGCAAUUGACCAAUUCCUGUUGACUCUCUAAAUAGAUAUACAUGAAGCAUGAGAGUUUAAUUCUUUCUACAAAAGAUCAUGCUCUAACAAAUAUAAGUGAAGCAAAAGAGCAUUCUAUGAACAUCAGUUUUCUAUGUGAAGAGAAACAGGCAAUCCAAACUUCAAAUGAUAUAAGUGAAGCACAUGAAACAUUCUAUAAAGCCAUACUCAAAAGAUAUAAGUGAAGUGCAAUGAGAAUUCUAUACAUCAACCAUGGACUAUCUCAUACCAGCAUGGUGCAUAAAAUAAAAGUGAAAAAUAAAUGCAAAAUACGCUCCAAGAUUUACACAUAUCACGUGAACGAAACAAAGACGAAAGCAUACCGAUACUUGUUGAAGAAAGAUGGGAUGACUUCCGGGGCAUCCCAAGCUUAGACGCAUGAGUCUCCUUGAAUAUUUACUUGGGGUGCCUUGGGCAUCCCCAAGCUUGAGCUCUUGCCUCUCCUCCUUCUCCUCAUAUCGAGACCUCCUCGAUCUUUGAUCACUUCAUCCACACAAAACUCAACAGAAAGCUCGGUAAGAUCGGUUAGUAUAAUAAAGCAAAUCACUACUCUAAGUGCAGUUGCAAACCAAUUCAUAUUUUUUUUGCAUUGCAGCUACUGUAAUAUAACUUUUCCAUGGAUUAUACCACCGAUAGAAUCGAUAGUUUCAUCAAAACAAGCAAAACAAUGCAUCAAAAACAGAAUCUGUCUUAAACAGGACAGUCUGUAGCAAUAUGAAGAUCUACCAUACUUCUGGUACUCCAAAAAUUCUGAAAAAUUAGGAAAACGUAAAAAAAUUGUAUAUGAAGACAGUGCAAAAAGUUUCAGAAACGUUUGACGUUCCAGGAAAAAAUUAAAAUUCAUGCGCUACAGCCAAAGUUUCUGUUUCUGCACCGCAUGUACCAACAAGCAAUCUAAUCAUCCUAAAGGCAAAUCUUGGCACAUUAUUUUUAUAAUACAAUCGAAGUGUACAAGGGGAUAAUUUUUGUUGAAAAGUUUCUGUAAUUCAAGAUUCACAAAGUUUCCAUGGGCAUGAACAAAGUUCAAGGCAUGCUCCCGCUUUCACGGUGCUCGUCCUUCUCACUUUCACUUUUCUUUUUGUGAAGUUUUAAGUUCCCCUCUAUAUUUUUUGUUUUUAAACUAUAUAAAAGCACUCAACAGAAAUAAAUGACUCUCUAAAACUUCCGGGUUGUCUCCCUGGCAGCGCUUUCUUUAAAGCCAUUAAGCUAUGCAUAAAGUGCUCAAGUAAUGGAUCCACCAAGAUCCCAAGGUAUAUCAAGGCCAAUUUUAAUUAGCAAUGAUUUGGCAUUUAGUAAUGAGCACAAAGCAACAUAUAUCAAGAAAUGAUGAAGUCUAACUCUCUUUCUAUGCAUCGGCAUGUCAUACAAGAACAAUUCAUGCACAUCAUGUAAAGGCCAAUACAUAGCAUAAACAGUUUCUUGCAAUUCUAUCAUGUUGGAAACACAGAGAGGCGGAGAUGUGGUUCCUCUCUCAUAAUAAUUGCAAGUAGGAGCAACAAGCACAUGCAUAUUAUUGAUACGUCUCCAAUGUAUCUAUAAUUUUUUAUUUUUCCAUGCUAUUAUAUUAUCUGUUUUGGAUGUUUAAUGGGCUUUAUUAUGCACUUUUAUAUUAUUUUUGGGACUAACCUACUAACCGGAGGCCCAGUGCAAAUUGCUGUUUUUUGCCUAUUUCAGUGUUUCGUAGAAAAGGAAUAUCAAACGGAAUCCAAAUGGAAUGAAACCUUCGGGAGAGUUAUUUUUGGAACAAACAUGAUCCAGGAGACUUGGAGUGGAUCAAGGAAGCAACGAGGCGGCCACGAGAUAGGGAGGCGCGCCUACCACCACCCUCGUGGGCCCCUCGUGGCUCCACCGACCUACUUCUUUCGCCUAUAUAUACUCAUAUACCCUGAAAACAUCCGAGAGCACCACGAAACCCUAUUUCCACUGCCGCAACCUUAUGUACCCGUGAGAUCCCAUCUUGGGGCCUUUUUCGGCGCUCCGCCGGAGGGGGAAUCGAUCACGGAGGGCUUCUACAUCAACACAAUAGCCUCUCCGAUGACGUGUGAGUAGUUUACCAUAGACCUUCGGGUCCAUAGUUAUUAGCUAGAUGGCUUCUUCUCUCUCUUUGGAUCUCAAUACAAAGUUCUCCUCGAUUCUCUUGGAGAUCUAUUCGAUGUAAUUCUUUUUGCGGUGUGUUUGUCGAGAUCCAUGAAUUGUGGGUUUAUGAUCAAUAUUAUCUAUGAACAAUAUUUGGUUCUUCUCUGAAUUCUUAUAUGUAUGAUUUGAUAUCUUUGCAAGUCUCUUCGAAUUAUCAGUUUGGUUUGGCCUACUAGAUUGAUCUUUCUUGCAAUGGGAUAAGUUCUUAGCUUUGGGUUGAAUCUUGCGGUGUCCUUUCCCAGUGACAGCAGGGGCAGCAAGGCAUGUAUUGUAUUGUUGCCAUCGAGGAUAAAACGAUGGGGUUUAUAUCAUAUUGCUUGAGUUUAUCCCUCUACAUCAUGUCAUUUUGCCUAAUGCGUUACUCCAUUCUUAUGAACUUAAUACUCUAGAUGCAUGUUGGAUAACGGUCGAUGUGUGGAGUAAUAGUAGUAGAUGCAUAAUCGUUUCGGUCUACUUGUCGCAGACGUGAUGCCUAUAUACAUGAUCAUGCCUAGAUAUUCUCAUAACUAUGCACUUUUCUAUCAAUUGCUCGAUAGUAAUUUGUUCACCCACCGUAGAUUAUGCUAUCUUGAGAGAAGCCACUAGUGAAACCUAUGGCCCCCGGGUCUAUUUUCCAUCAUAUGAGUUUCCGAUCUAUUUUAUUUUGCAAUCUUUACUUUCCAAUCUAUAUCAUAAAAAUACUAAAAAUAUUUAUCUUAUUAUCUCUAUCAGAUCUCACUUUUGCAAGUGGCCGUGAAGGGAUUGACAACCCCUUUAUCGCGUUGGUCGCAAGGUUCUUAUUUGUUUGUGCAGGUACAAGGCGACUUGCGUGUAACCUCCUACUGGAUUGAUACCUUGGUUCUCAAAACUUGAGGGAAAUACUUACGCUACUUUGCUGCAUCACCCUUUCCUCUUCAAGGGAAAACCAACGCAUGCUCAAGAGGUAGCAAGAAGGAUUUCUGGCGCUGUUGCUGGGGAGGCUUACGCCAAGUCAAGUCAAGAUUUGAUCUCCCAGCAACUAGCCAUUUCUGGCGCUGUUGCCGGGGAGUCUACACACAAGUCAAGACAUAGCAUGUACCCAUCACAAACUCUUAUCCCUCGCAUUACAUUAUUUGCCAUUUGCCUCUCGUUUUACUCUCCCCCACUUCACCUUUGCCGUUUUAUUCGCCCUCUUUUUCUGUUUGUCUCUUUUCGCUUGCUUCUUUGUGUGCUUGUGUGUUGGAUUGUUUGUCACGAUGGCUCAAGACAAUACUAAAUUGUGUGACUUUUCGAAUACCAACAACAAUGAUUUUCUUAGCACGCCGAUUGCUCCUAUUACCGAUGCCGAAUCUUGUGAAAUUAAUGUUGCUUUCUUGAAUCUUGUCAUGAAUGAUCAAUUUUCUGGCCUUCCUAGUGAAGAUGCCGCUACUCAUCUAAACAACUUUGUUGAUUUGUGUGAUAUGAAAAAGAAGAAAGACGUGGAUAAUGAUAUUGUUAAAUUGAAGCUAUUUCCGUUUUCGCUUAGAGAUCGUGCUAAAACUUGGUUUUCGUCUUUGCCUAAAAAUAGUAUUGAUUCAUGUAAUAAGUGCAAAGAUGCUUUUAUCUAUAAGUAUUUUCCUCCCGUUAAGAUCAUCCCUCUUAGAAACGAUAUUAUGAAUUUUAAGAAACUUGAUCAUGAACAUGUUGCACAAGCUUUGGAGAGAAUGAAAUUAAUGAUACGUAAUUGCCCUACACAUGGUUUGAAUUUAUGGAUGAUUAUACAAAAAAUUUAUGCCGGAUUGAAUUUUGCUUCUAGAAAUCUUUUAGAUUCGGCCGCGGGAGGCACUUUCAUGGAAAUCACUUUAGGAGAAGCUACUAAACUCCUAGAUAAUAUUAUGGUUAAUUAUUCUCAAUGGCACACCGAAAGAUCUACUAGUAAAAUGGUCACGCGAUAGAAGAGAUUAAUGUCUUGAGUGGAAAGAUGCAUGAACUUAUGAAGUUGUUUGCUAAUAAGAAUGUUUCUUCUGAUCCUAAUGAUAUGCCUUUGUCUACUUUGAUUGAGAAUAAUAAUGAAUCUAUGGAUGUGAAUUUUGUUGGUAGGAACAAUUUUGGUAACAACGCGUAUAGAGGAAACUUUAAUCCUAGGCCGUUUCCUAGUAAUUCCUCUAAUAAUUAUGGUAAUUCCUACAACAACUCUUAUGGAAAUUUUAAUAAGAUGCCCUCUGAUUUUGAGACUAGUGUUAAAGAAUUUAUGAUUUCGCAAAAGAAUUUCGAUGCUUUGCUUGAAGAAAAAUUGCCUAAGAUUGAUGAGUUGGCUAUGAACGUGGAUAGAAUUUCUCUUGAUGUUGAUUCUUUGAAACUUAGAUCUAUUCCACCUAAGCAUGAUAUCAAUGAGUCUCUCAAAGCCAUGAGAAUUUCCAUUGAUGAGUGCAAAGAAAGAACCUCUAGGAUGCGUGCUAAAAAAGAUUGCUUUAUGAAAGCGUGUUCUUCUGGUUUUCAUGAUAAUAAGGAUGGAGAUCUAAAAGUGAUGGAUGUGUCUCCUAUUAAAUAUUUGUUUGCAAUUUUAACCUUGAUAAUGAUGGAACUGGAGAUGAGUCAACUUUCAUUAGAAGGCCUCCCAAUGAUUCGGAGUUUUUAGAUCUUGAUGCAAAAAUUGGUAAAAGUGGGAUUGAAGAGGUCAAAACUUUACAUAGAAAUGAACCCACUAUUUUGGAUUUCAAGGAAUUUAAUUAUGAUAAUUGCUCUUUGAUAGAUUGUAUUUCCUUGUUGCAAUCCGUGCUAAAUUCUCCUCAUGCUUAUAGUCAAAAUAAAGCUUUUACCAAACAUAUCGUUGAUGCUUUAAUGCAAUCUUAUGAAGAAAAACUUGAAUUAGAAGUUUCUAUCCCUAGAAAACUUUAUGAUGAGUGGGAACCUACUAUUAAAAUUAAGAUUAAAAAUCAUGAAUGCUAUGCUUUGUGUGAUUUGGGUGCUAGUGUUUCCACGAUUCCAAAAACUUUGUGUGAUGUGCUAGGUUUCCAUGAAUUUGAUGAUUGUUCUUUAAACUUGCAUCUUGCGGAUUCCACCAUUAAGAAACCUAUGGGAAGGAUUAAUGAUGUUCUUAUUGUUGCAAAUAAGAAUUAUGUGCCCGUAGAUUUCAUUGUUCUUGAUAUAGAUUGCAAUCCUUCAUGUCCUAUUAUUCUUGAUAGACCUUUUCUUAGAACGAUUGGUGCAAUUAUUGGUAUAAAGGAAGGGAAUAUUGGAUUCCAAUUUCCAUUAAGGAAAGACAUGGAACACUUUCCUAGAAAUAAAAUUAAAUUACCUUAUGAAUCUAUUAUGAGAGCCACUUAUUAUUUUCUUACCAAAGAUGACAAUACCAAGAUCUAUUCUUGCCUUUAUGCCUACCUAGGGGCGUUAAACAAUAGCGCUUGUUGGGAGGCAACCCAAUUUUAUUUUUGUUUCUUGCUUUUUGGUUCUGUUUAGUAAUAAAUAAUUCAUCUAGACUCUGGAUAUAUGUGGUUUUAUGUUUUAAUUAGUGUUUGUGCCAAGUAAAACCUAUAGGAUCUUCUUGGAUGAUAAUUAUUUGAUCUUGCUGAAAAAGACAGAAACUUUCUGCUCACUAAAACAAUUGUUAAAAAUCACCAGAACAUGAUAAAAUACUGAUUCCAAUUGAAGUUGAUCAAUAAACAAAUUAUUUAGGUCGUCCUAUUUUGGAAGAAUUUUUGAGUUAGAGAAAGUUUGCGUUUGAUACAGAUUACUACAGACUGUUCUGUUUUUGACAGAUUCUGUUUUUCGUGUGUUGUUUGCUUAUUCUGAUGAAUCUAUGGCUAGUAUCGAGGGGUAUGAACCAUAGAGAAGUUGGAAUACAGUAGGUUUAACACCAAUAUAAAUAAAUAAUGAGUUCAUUACAGUACCUUAAAGUGGUGGUUUGUUUUAUUUCGCUAACGGAGCUCAUGAGAUUUUCUGUUGAGUUUUGUGUUGUGAAGUUUUCAAGUUUUUGGGUAAAGAUUUGAUGGAUUAUGGAAUAAGGAGUGGCAAGAGCCUAAGAUUGGGGAUGCCCAAGGCACACCCAAGUUAAAAUUCAAGGACACCAAAAGCCUAAGCUUGGGGAUGCCCUGGAAGGCAUCCCCUCUUUCGUCUUCGCCUAUCGGUAACUUUACUUGAUGCUAUAUUUUUAUUCACCACAUGAUAUGUGUUUUGCUUGGAGCGUCUUGUAUGAUUUGAGUCUUUUCUUUUUAGUUUACCACAAUCAUCCUUGCUGUACACACCUUUUGGGAGAGACACACAUGAAUCGGAAUUUAUUAGAAUACUCUUUGUGCUUCACUUAUAUCUUUUGAGCUAGAUAAAUUUUGCUCUAGUGCUUCGCUUAUAUCUUUUAGAGCACGGUGGUGGUUUUAUUUUAUAGAAAUUAUUGAUCUCUCAUGCUUCACUUCUAUUAUUUUGAGAGUAAUAUAAAACAUCAUGGUAAUUUGCUUUGGCUAUAAAAUUAGUCCUAAUAUGAUGAACAUCCAAGAUGGGUAUAAUAAAAACUAUCAUAUGAAGUGCAUCGAAUACUAUGAGAAGUUUGAUACUUGAUAAUUGUUUUGAGAUAUGAAGAUGGUGAUAUUAGAGUCAUGCUAGUUGAGUAGUUGCGAAUUUGAGAAAUACUUGUUCUAAAGUUUGUGAUUCCCGUAGCAUGCACGUAUGGUGAACCGUUAUGUGAUGAAGUCGGAGCAUGAUUUAUUUAUUGAUUGUCUUCCUUAUGAGUGGCGGUCGGGGAUGAGAGAUGGUCUUUUCCUACCAAUCUAUCCCCCUAGGAGCAUGCGCGUAGUACUUCGGUUCGAUAACUAAUAGAUUUUUUCAAUAAGUAUGUGAGUUCUUUAUGACUAAUGUUGAGUCCAUGGAUUAUACGCACUCUCACCCUUCCACCAUUGCUAGCCUCUCUAAUACCGCGCACCUUUCGCCGGUAUCAUGCACCCAUAUACCUUCCUCAAAACAGCCACCAUACCUACCUAUUAUGGCAUUUCCAUAGCCAUUCCGAGAUAUAUUGCCAUGCAACUUUCCACCGUUCCGUUUAUUAUGACACGCUCCAUCAUUGUCAUAUUGCUUUGCAUGAUCAUGUAGUUGACAUCGUAUUUGUGGCAAGGCCACCCUUAUAAUUCAUUCAUACAUGUCACUCUUGAUUCAUUGCAUAUCCCUGUACACCGCCGGAG
rnacentral:lncRNA from 1 species